rnacentral:rRNA from 1 species
GACGUAGGGUGCAAGCGUUGUCCGGAAUUAUUGGGCGUAAAGAGUUCGUAGGCGGUUUAUCAAGUCUAGUGUUAAAGACUGGAGCUCAACUCCGGCAUGGCAUUGGAAACUGAUAGGCUAGAGUGUGGUAGAGGCAAGGGGAAUUCCCGGUGUAGAGGUGAAAUUCGUAGAUAUCGGGAGGAACACCGGUGGCGAAGGCGGCGACCUGGGUAGAUACUGACGCUGAGGUGCGAAAGCGUGGGGAGCAAACAGG